rnacentral:rRNA from 1 species
UACGUAGGGAGCAAGCGUUGUCCGGAAUCAUUGGGCGUAAAGCGCGCGUAGGUGGCCCUGUAAGUCCGUUGUGAAAGUCAAAGGCUCAACCUUUGAAAGCCGAUGGAUACUGCAGGACUAGAGUACGGAAGAGGCGAGUGGAAUUCCUGGUGUAGCGGUGGAAUGCGCAGAUAUCAGGAGGAACACCAAUAGCGAAGGCAGCUCGCUGGGACGUUACUGACGCUGAGGUGCGAAAGCGUGGGGAGCAAACAGG